UGUGCUUUCUUCAGAGCACUGAGGGCAACCUUGGCGGCCUCUCGGAAGACGUCCUCCACAUUCUCCCGAAACUUGGCAGAACAUUCCAGGGGGUGCUAACAGAACAUGCCUCAGCGUUAUAAGGAUUAAAGGAGGCAGGGAAGAAGAGGGCCGAGAGCAGGGAGAUGGAGGUGGAGAGAAUGAAGACCCCCGACCGACCUGCACGAGAAUUGCAAAAAGAGUGCUACGAACUCCCUCAGAUCCCCGAGUGCUUACACUUUGGCCCACUUGCCCUUUCUAUAUGUAAACAGUGAGCCACGCGAGAGUAAGGGCAGGCAUCCUGCUGCUUCACCCCGGAAUAGCGCCCUGCGGAUUUUCUAAGGACAAGCA